rnacentral:rRNA from 1 species
ACUCAAAGGAAUUGACGGGGGCCCGCACAAGCGGUGGAGCAUGUGGUUUAAUUCGAUGCAACGCGAAGAACCUUACCUGCUCUUGACAUGCUGGGAAGACUGUAGAGAUACGGUUGUGCCGAAAGGAACCCAGACACAGGUGCUGCAUGGCUGUCGUCAGCUCGUGUCGUGAGAUGUUGGGUUAAGUCCCGUAACGAGCGCAACCCCUAUCCUUAGUUGCUAGCAUGAAAGUGCGCACUCUAGGGAGACUGCCGGUGACAAGCCGGAGGAAGGUGGGGACGAGGUCAAGUCAUCAUGGCCCUUAUGAGCAGGGCUACACACGUGCUACAAUGGGGCGUACAGAGGGAGGCCAAACUGUGAGGUGGAGCCAAUCUCAGAAAACGUUUCGUAGUCCGGAUUGGAGUCUGCAACUCGACUCCAUGAAGUUGGAAUCGCUAGUAAUCGCGGAUCAGAAUGCCGCGGUGAAUACGUUCCCGGGCCUUGUACACACCGCCCGU